AUGUCAACGCAAGCAAAAGGUGUCCUCUCCUCCCAUCCAUCUCCACCGCACGGAUGUAAAGCCACCCCAGACGUAACAAAGGGUGAGGAGACUCAAGAGGCGCAAGGGCAAAGAUUCCAAGAACACACCCUACCUGAGCCAAGAGCAACCAUGAGUGGCCGAAUGGAACUGAGCGCGCAGAUGUCGAUGGCGCCGCCGACCAACGGCGGGAAGCGCAGGUGCUCACGGCCCGGCCUGGGGGAUAUCCACGAGGACAUGCUGGAGCGCGUCCUCGCGCGCCUCCCGCCGGCCAGCUUCUUCCGCCUCCGCGCCGUCUGUCGCGAGUGGCGCGCGGUCGCCGCAUCCCCUACAUUCCUCGACGCCUGCGCGCGCGUCCCUUCCCGCCACCCGUGGUUCCUCAUGCUCUCCGAACGGCCACACCCGGUGGUCGCCUUCGACGCCGCCGGGCGCUCCUGGAACGCCUGCCGCGCCCCAACGGGGUCCAUGCCUGUGGCCGCGUCGGGUGGCCUCGUCCUCUACAGCGUGCUGGCCACGGGCGCGCUCUGCGUCUCCAACCCUCUCACCGGCGCAUCCCGCGCGCUCCCCACGCCGCCGCAGGGCCCGGGCGUGCCGCAGCUCCACGCGAUUGCCAUGUACGGCUCCCCCUACCGCGUGGCGCUCUUCACGGGCGAGCUCCCUGACCUGUCCAUGGCGGUGUUCGACUCGUCCGAGGACUCGUGGGAGGGCCCAAUGCCGCUCGCCCGGAGGUCCGGGACCUCUUCCCCGGACGCGCCGCCCCAUGGUGGCGACGAGACGGUCUACUUUCUGAGCAAGUCCGGCGACGUGGUGGCCACCAACAUGAAACGCAGCUCGUUGAAGCAGUACUCCUCGGUGGUCGUCCCGUCCGAGUGCGGCGCCGUGGUCUACUUCCUGAGCCACUCGGGCACGGUCCUCGCCUGCGACACGGCGAGCCGCACGUUUGCCGAGCUGCCCCGGAUCCUCCCCGUGCAUUUCGAGUACUCCAUCGACGUCGUGGCAUGCAACGGCGCCUCCUACGCCGUCGUGCUGUCGGAGUACCUGGACACGGCGAGCCUGCGGGUGUGGCAGUUCGCGGAGGGCGCGUGGAGGCAGGUGGCCGCCAUGCCGCCAGGCAUGGCGCACGGGUUCUACGGAAAGAAGGCCGACAUCAACUGCGUCGGGCACGGCGACCGCGUAAUGGUCUGCGUGAGCUCGGGUGAGUUCAAUGGCUGCUUCAUGUGCGACGUGGCAAGCAACGAAUGGGAGGAGCUGCCCAGGUGCAUCAAUGGCGACGGAGAGAUCAUCGACUUCCUGGCCGCCUUCUCCUUCGAGCCGAGAGUAGAGAUCAACGUCUAA
rnacentral:rRNA from 1 species